CUCAUUAAGUAGUUGAGGAUUGCCCUGAACAUCUGAUCCUCCUCCCCCCACCUCUCAAGCACUGGAACCAUAAUGUACGCAACUGUGCUUGGCUUUGUCAACAUGUUUUUACAGCAUGGGAAGCUUUCUCUCAAUGGCUCGAUUUCAAUCACCAACUCACUACGGUGACCAGGAAAAGGGUAUAUUCCAAGUCAGGAGAAGGCCCGAGGAGGACAAGGAUUAAUGAGGACACUACAAGAGAUGCACAAGUCGCAGCUGCUGCAGAGUCCAUAACACAGAGGCACUCCUUUCACAAGGGAAGGUCAAGGAUUUAGGCAAGUUGGCUAUUUCCAGCAAAAACAAAUAUUACAUUUCUGUAAUGAUGCUUCAUGGCUGAAAGUGCCCAGUUCUCCACUAAGCUCAGUGGUGUUCCUCAAUAUCAAGAGAUGCCCAUAAAUGAGAAGUCAAGAGUGACAGGUGCCCAUUUAUUUUCAAGACUUUAUAGAUAAAUUCUGAUAAAGUGUCGUAUCAAAAGUUUAAUAGAAAUAAACUUUUGGGAAGAUGAACACCAAUGAUUUGUUUGCAUUUCUUAAUACCAGCAAUUCAAGUACUAUUCAGACCAUUGCUAUUUGAGAGUCUAGGUCAACAAUGACUCAGCUUGAGAAAUUCCCUACCAUUUUAUAAAAGAGGUGUAAGCUGAGUUAUGCAGCUAACACAAUCUGGAGAGCCCAUCCCCCCACGUUAUAAACUAAUUUCCAUGUGAAUAGCUGAGAAAGUGGCAGUGUUUAUUUUCUACUGAAAAAAAAGUAUCCUGUUCAGUCUCCUCCAAGCCCAGGAAAAGCCCCAUCUCAAUUCUGUUUUAGGACAUAACAAGGGCAAGAGGGGGAUCCAAGCCCCAGCCCCAGCUCUUCUAGCAGCAUGUUCUGCUGAAUGGAGUCUACAUCAGGGCUGGACUUCAGACUUCAGACAGUGGUGUCCAGUCCAGUGGAGAAGCAAGCUGUCCCCAGUCCUAAUUAAUUAGGACAAGGCCUAGACAGAAGGCAGGCCCCUGCUCUUGUGUCCAAUCAUCUAACAUGGCAGAAGCCUACAACAUCACCUCAGGCAAGCCUUUCAUUUCCCCACCUGCAAACAGGGUACUGAUUUUCAACUAGGUUCUACCAAACUCCAGGACCCACGAUGGUAUUUCUGCCAUCCCUCUACAGGCAAAGAAUCUUGGGGUUUAUGAAAGACAGAAAAUGUAAAUAAGUGAAGCAAAUGACUAAUCAAAUGCCACACAGACUGGAUAAAUUACACCAGAUGUGGUAGUGCAUUACCGCAAUCCGAGAAUCUCAGAGAGAGGCAAAAGGAUGACUUGAAAGCUACCCUCGGAUACAUAUCUAGAUAGAAGCCUGCCUGGACUAUGUGAGAGCCUGUCUCAAAUAAAUAAAAAUAUACAUAAAUAAAUGAACAAAAGACACAAUUUAGAUUGCCAGGUGGCAAAUGAUAACAGUCCUAGGAGAUUACAAGAAGGAUUGCAAGAGGUCCAACACCUUUCAGGAGACUGCCUCAGACCAAGGAUGGAAAAGCAAUCUCGACUACAUUGCGUACGUCCAGCUGUGAUGACCCAUCUCCGGAAGACUGACCACAUACACAGCCAUGAGGCUAUGGCUCUCCAUUAGCUGUGCAACCCACACCCUUCCCAAACUGUCCUUUUCCAAAAAUCACCAUUUGAACCAGAUACUGGCACCCAUCUAUCUGGUAUGAAGAGGAAUGAUGGUUUCUGACUUGUUAUUUGUCCUGGGGCAUCAUCAGGCCAAUCAAAAAAGGAGGUGAUGGGCAAGAGAGAGGAGACAUGAGUACAGAGAAAGGUUAGUUUUAAAGAGUGGGGAGAGGCGAAGAAAGACUAGCUGUAAAGAUCUAGGCAGGGUUAAGAGCCCUUGGAGACAUGCUAGUGCACUGAAAAGAGUCAUCUGCUGCCGUAUCUUACUUCACACUCCGCCCCAACUGGCACAGGAGCCCUUCCAGAAGGCCAAGGCUACCACCUCACAUUUCUGUAGCACCCAAUUCCAUCAUGAAAGCAAAUGUCAAUUCCAGGAUUGGAGUCUCCACAACCAUAGAGAAAUCUGACAGUUUUGGGAACAUUAGUUCCCAGUUUUGGAGGAAAAGCAGCUCUUUGUUCAUUCUGUCUCUCCUCUUCCAUUAAUGUGGACUCCCGCUUUGAGCAUGCAGAACUCUUUAGGUUGUCAGUGUUAGGAAAACUCUGGAAACACACACUGUAGUGGUGCUGCACACACAGUUGUUCCUAUUCUUAAUUAGGGGUCACCUCCACAUGACGGGGAAUGAGAAACAAGACAACUAAAUGUUAAAAUACUGACAUGGAGAGUACAAACUCUAAAAUAAAUUCAGGAGAGUAACUGUGACACGAGGCCAAAGAUGCACGACUGGAAACAGACCAAAGCGCCACAUAGCAUCACACUCCCCAGACUCUCCUUGUCAGAGCUUAAAGUCCUGCAGUUCUGUCAGGGGCAGAACGAGCCUAGCAAUGUUCAUGACACCGACUUCCAACCACAGUACACAACUGAGAAGAUUAAAAAAAAAAAAAAGACCCAAACCCAGAAAACCUACAGUCCUAAAAAGUUACAAGAGCCACCCAGAUCUAUUAUGCAGCCCCUAAACGCUCCAACACUGGAUGAGUCAAUGGUUUAAUUCUGUAGAUGACAGUGAAGGGUUUUAUUUCAAAUGUGUUCACACAGAACUAUUUCUAAGCAGGUGCUGAAAUAAACAAUCUGAUCAUAGCUCAGCUAAGAAAGAAAGUCCUUCCAGUAAAUGUGCCUACACAGCUAGAUAGCUGUUUUAAUAUGCAAUUGCCCUAAGCCACAGGAGGAGGAAAACAAAAACAACAAAACAGACUUCUGAUUUGGAUUUACUUAAAUAAAUACACCUACAACACACCAAAGGUACUCCCUACCAAGUUAAAGGAGAAUGUGGUCAAAUGGCUUUUUUAUAAAGGACACCUACCUCUGAAUGAAUUUCCUAAAUCCCACCACAAAAAUCAUUGGGGAACUUGAACACAGGGUAGGAAAGGCACAGCUCACAGACCUCAAUUAUGUCCAAAUCCAUUUCAUCAGCUAGCUCUUGGCAGCCCUCUCCAACUCUACCCAGCCAGGUCCCUUCAUCAUAUGUCUGGGGGAUAUCAGACUCACUCACUGGUUCCUGCUCCUGGUUCCUCCAGAGCCCAGGAACAGCACCGAUCUGGGCUCCUGUGGCUGCCAGUGCCGAGUGCCGGUAAUAACAGAGGGCAGAAAUCUGAGUGACACUUGGCACUUUCUUUCAUCAUCAACAACAACCACCACCACAGUCACAAAGUGCUUUCUACACCCAGGCUCUCACUAUUUUGAAGACCAGGAAGCUGGAGCCUUCCAGGGGGCAGAGGUGAAAAAGGAAGCAGAAACCCACUGAGUCUAGCCCCACCCUCAAGGUCAUGGCAUUAACCAAAGGCCAGGAGGGAAGGCAAAAGGCUGCUUCUGAGGACCAGAGCAGUAAACACCAAGUGUGGCCACAACACCCCCCGCCCCAGGGGGACCUGCAGAACUUGAGAACUGGCAUUUCCCUGGCCUAGAGUAAAACAACUUUUCAGCUGGGAAAAAAAAGGAAAAGACAAAGCAGCAUACUCCUGAACAGUCCCCAGGGGUGCUGGUAGGGAGGUGGGAGAGAGAGAGUACAGCGGAGUGUCUACAACUGCAGAGGCAAGGAGGGAAGUGAGAAGAAGACUCAAGAGCCCUGAGCAGCGGCAGUCCCCUUUCCCAAGGACACAUGGCUGUGAGGUUCAGAGGGGAAAUGGGGCAAUGGAUGAGGCAUACCCACCAUCACUAACCUUGGUACCAAUCAGAGAAAUGGGAAGAAGCUUCCAAACUGCAGAGUUGCAACCCUAUCUACCCCUUCCUACCUCUGCAGCAGCUCUCAGAACUUUGGGGAUAAAAUCUGAAACACUCCGGGCUCCACAGAGAAUCUGCAAUUCUCUGGAUCAGUGCCUAGAGAACCUGGCCCCAGCCUACCCUGGCAAAUGCUGAGAAAUGCAGAACAGGUAAACACAGACCUAAAGGGGGAUAUCCUCCUCAAUGGGGAGCCUGUUGGCAAUGGAGAAGGAGCCCCAAGAAGCAGGUGUGAUAUUAAAUGUUAGAAAGGGAGCCUGACAGGCCAUGAAGGAAAGGCGGAAAGCCACAAGGGAGGUCAGAGGAAAGGAAUGGGAGCGGGGCAUCAAGAGAAAAUGAGCAUCUAUUCAAGAACUUGGAGGUGCCAAGAAAGGGGAGAUGGAAAUAAGAAGAAAGGAAUGACUAAUAAGACAUCUUCAGGUUAGAGCUGAGGACGAGGGCUUAAAAGGAGGCAAGAAUCAGAGCAAAAUAGGGACAGCGAAUGAACAAAAAGGAAAGUCCGGGGAAAGGCUGAAUGGGGGAGGGGGGGGCUUAGAAUUGAGAGGGACCAAAGGUGGGACAUAAGCAGAUCAUUUUAAAGAUGAUCACUUUGACAGGGACAGCAAUAGUAAAGUUAAAAACGGGUCAAAAAUAUGAAAAUGGACAGCUCCAAAAGGGAGCUGUGGGGAGGGGGCACCUACUAAAGAGAAUGAGUGGGGAAAAGGUAAGCCCAGGAAAUGCAGAAUGGGAAAAGUAUGAAGGGUCAGAGCCAUCUGAGGUGCAGAGGCACACCAAUAGCAAAAAGACAUAGGCAGCAAGUCCUAGGUGGAGAGUAACCUACUGCAGACAGGCUAAGGGGAGGGGGCGCAAAUGAAUGGAGCAGAGCAGAGGAGCGCUGAAAUAAAGGUGAGAAAGAGGGCCAGCCAAAGAAAACAGAGGAGCAGAGAUGGGGCACAACUAAGAUGGAGUUAGGGUUAAGGGCAGAGGUCUGCUAAAGGGAAUGGCAGAAAUGAGACACCCCGAGGGACAGAAAGGGGGGAAACGAAGAGGCGGAAAGCCAGGCACUGCGGGGGAGUGCGUGCAAGAUCGCAGCUCCGGCAAGGGGCAGAGCUGGCAGGCAGAAGGGUCUGGAACAGAAGACAGGGUCUGAAUGGCAAUCGGGGGCAAGCACUGAGAAGGGAAGGAAGCCAGCAAGCACAGAGUAUCUAAAUCCGUGAACGGUUGGAGAAGCAGCCUAGGGGCAUCCCAAGGAGGUGCAGCAGGUUCCGUGGUACGGCCGGGGCAGAAAUGUGGGGCAGUUGGGCCCAAGUGGAAGGAGGAAUUAUGUCCAAAGCAAAGACCGGAGGGCAGCAGUGCCUCUACCAACAGAGGUCUAAUACGGAUCUCCACGGAGGUGAAACCGCAGGUCCUAAAGGGACAGCUCCUGGGGAUGCAAGAGGUUCUAAGUCAAGAAUAAUAACAGUAGGUAGGCCACAGAAGGAAGACGGUGACCUCACCCCCAAAGUGAUGUUAAGAGAAAACAGAUAAGCAUCGCAGUGUUGGCUCCUGGUUUUCAACACCGGAACACUCACUGGCUUUGAAGAUGAAAGGGGCUGUGAGUCAAGGGAUGGAGAAGCCUCCAGAAGCUCUACCAGGCAGAAAUGGGUUCAGCAUUCAACCUUUAAAAGGAUCUCACUGUGUAGCCCUGGCUGGCCUUGAACUUGCUAUGGACAUUAGGCCGACCUUGGAGUCACAGAGAUGUGCCUGCUAGUCUGGCAUUAAAAGGGUGUAUUACCACCUCAGGCCAGCCCCUGUAUUUGAUUCCCAGCACUGGAGAGGGAUUCAGAAGACAAAGAAAUCUAAUGGAAAGCAGAAAAUACAGCUACACUUUGGAAUCAUUGAGACCUUUGUUCAAAUGAUGGUAAACCCCGUUCACAAAUUCUAAUUUAAUUGUUCUGUAAUGGAAUGCAAGCAUGGGCAACUUUUAAUCACCUACUGGUGCUAAAACUAGGCGGUUGUCAUGGUUAAGGGUGUCAGUUGGAAAGACUCUAGAAUCUCUGGUGACAGGUCACAGGCACACCUGUGAGGGCUUAUCUACAUGGGGGCAGCCUCGGAGAAUGUCUGGAGAUAUUAUCUUGGUCACUUAGUACAAGUGACAAGACCGGUCUCCAGUGUGGGUGGAACUGCCCCCUGGCCAGGACUUCCAGGACCGUGCAGAUGGAGAAAGCACACUUGGCACUGUGGACUGUGGGGGUCACGUGACCAGCUGUGACCUUCCCACUGUCAUGGACUCCACCUUUGAACGUGAACCGGAUAAACACGCUGUCCCUUAAGUUGCUUUUCUCAGGACUCUGCUAAUGGGCCCCCGCUCUGCAGACCUCAGCACACAACUGCCCCUUCAGCUCCUCUAGCCCUUCCCCCCUCCAGUGAUGGGCCGUUCCAACCGUCUGACUCUGGCACCCACUUUCACUCCCCCCUGUUACUCAUCCCGCUCCGCUAUGGGACCCCUUCCAUCUCUACCCAUUCCAACCUGGCCACAGUUCUCCCUUGGUGAGGGGUUGUCGGGGUGGAUGGUAUGAUUAAGGUACAUGUCUCUUUUUCAUUAAGUGAAUUCUCUCAAAUAGAGAAAAAAGAAACUGGGGUCUUAUAUGUCUAACUCUACUUCCUUCAUUAAAGAAUUCCAAUAUAUCACCCAACCGUAUAGUCUCAUCUUCCCUGAUUAUAUAUGGAUAUUAUAUAUCACCUUCAUAUAUAUAUAUAUAUAUAUGAAGACCUCAGGUCAGGGUCCUCAGCUGCAGCCGCUAAGAGUACUCCCUGUGUGCAUGCACUAUACCCCCUUAAAAAAGCAAGCUCCCUCAUUUCCCCGUCUCCUCCGCAGCUUCUCCCCCAGAGGCCAGCUUCUGUACCCUCUCCCCCUUCCCUUCUCCCCCAGUAAAUCUCCCACAUGAACUCUGUGUAUGGUGUGACUCUCUCUGGCCACUAAACUACAGCACACAGCACCCAGGUCAUCCAGAAGACGGGGAGAGUCUCCACAAGGGAGAGUGCCCCCAAGGGAGAGUGCUCAUGUCCGUAAUAGAGGCAGGAGGGAAGGCAUUAGGAUGAGUCCUGGAAGUGUGGUGCUCUCAGGGUUGCCCAGCCUGGGUGGAAGGAGCCUCCUUCAGGGCUAUCUCAGGCAACUCUUUUGUAGUUACGAAGAGUGUGCCUAGGACUGGGAAGAAGAGAUCCCCUCUGUAAACACACAGGAAGGAGGGAAUAGUCCAUGGGCCCAGGGUCGCCUGGCAGAGCAGGACCUGCGGUAGAACACUGUAGGGAACCUUGGAGUCGCCUCAAGACACCCCAAGACCAAGUUCUCAGCACCAAGGAGAUUUAUUUGCCCCAGAGGGACAGAGGGCAGGGAUAAGAGACAAAGACAAGAGAUAGAGGACCGGGGAGAAGGGGAAGGGGUGUUUGUCCUGGAGGGGAACAAAGGACUGCCUCUGGAUAGAGAGGAGACAGGCUUGGCACAUAUGAAAAUGGUGGUUUAUAAAGGUAAAAGGGGGAAACCCCGUGUUAAGAUGAGGUGUUCAGUUUUCAUUGGGCAUGUUAAUUAGGGCAGCCAAAGGGGACUUUUGAUUGCUGAGCUCCAACACUUUGAUAGUUGGACCUUGGUAGUCAGCCUCAGGAGGAGGAAGGCCAAAUAAGAGACUAGGCCUUGGUGGCUAGCUUUAAGAAUGUAGUCUGUUUUUAGAAAGGCAGAGGGAGUGGAGAGAAGGGCAAGGCCUGCCAGAGCCAUGUUUGCCAUGCUUGGUCUGGCUAGAGUCCCUUCAUACACGACUACGUGACUGUGCUUGAUGCCACGAACUCUGCUUCAAAAUGGCUACAUUGGUCCAUGCUAUCAGUGUAAUUCACCGCACCAGGAACUGUUAAGACAAAACGGGAUCUGGGGCAAGAUCUCACCGUAAAGGCCAGCCUUGGGCAGGAAGCUCAGCCAGCUCCCUCCUCUCACCCAUGGAUUUACGUAUAUGGAUGAAAAAAACCUGCAGACCACAACUGUUCAAAGGCAUUUUACACGUGAAACACGUCCUGCCCAAUCUCCCAUCAGGAUUCCAACUUCACGUGGAUGACUGAUGUCUAGGCAGCACCGGCGUUUGACCAGAGAAGCAAUUUGCACGAGAGAGAAGAUGUGUUUAGAACUCUGUGUAGUCACUGUACCAUUUUAACAGGAUUCCGUUUUCGGUUUUGUUUUUUUGGUUUUGUUGUUUUGGUUUUUCAGGACAGGGUUUCUCUGUGUAGAGGAUUCUGAACACCUACAAGCUUUUGCUGUGUAGGGAGUGCUUGAACUCUGUUCCCCAUGGAUCCUGAGGUACAGUUUGUAUUUAAUCCAGAAUCUACGUCUUUCUUAACCCCUUUGCAAUUCUGACCCCCAAUAUUGAAUUCUGUUCCCAAGCUGAUGUCUUUUUUUUUUUUUUUUAAUGAUUUUUCGAGACAGGGUUUCUCUGUGUAACCCUGGCUGUCCUGGAAUUCACUUUGUAGACCAGGCUAGACUUGAACUCACAGAGAUCCGCCUGCCUCUGCCUCCCAAGGCUGGGAUUAAAGGCGUGCACCACUGCCACCACUGGGCCACUGUGUGACUGGACUGGAAUGGCAUUCCUCCUGACUUGUGUCUUAUUUGGGGAUUACAGGUGUAUGUGACCAUGCUGCCUGUCUCUAUGUCUGCAUCGAGGAUCUUCUCCCUAGAACCUUUACCCACUUUGCACACAGGUGAGAAAGAAACUUCCCGACUGUGGUGAGGAAAGAGAGAGGACAUCACACACUGACCAAGAACAAGUAGACGGGGUGACUCUUCUUGGAGCUGAAGGAGUUGGAGAUCACACACAGAUACUCCCCUGCAUCCUCCAGCCUGAGGGGAGCUAUGGUGAGCCUGUGCUUUUCAGGGGACAGCGUCAUCCUCCUGUUGAAAUCCAGGGUCUUGUUAUUGGAGAUCCAGCUGACGUCAACUCCUGUGUAGGGUGACAUGCAAGUGAGAAUUGCAGCGUUCUGUCUCCCCACUCUAGUGGUCUUGACUUGGAUGGUGGGCUGUGUCACAAUCUCUGUGUAGAAGAAACAGAAGAGACCAAAUGAGAGAUGCAGCGAUAGAGAUCUCAGCCAGCCCCUCCCGGCUCCACGGGCACCUAAUAAGGCCUUUUCAAUAGGGAAUUCAGGGCCGAGGCUACAGCCAGACAUCUUGUGUUGGAGACCUGCCACCCAUGGCCUGAGUGACCCUGAUUCAGCCACUGGGUCUCUGUUUCCCUAUAAUAGGACACAUGGCGAGUGAUCAUUGCCAUGUCUGUGAGUUAAUCUUAAACAAGGACCUGACCUUGGGAUGGGGGAGCUACCCAAAUCAGGGGCGUCUAUUACCAUUUGCCUGGGAUUUCUGUGGGAUGGACCCCUGAUGAUGAGCUGAGUACCCGCACACCUAUGAGAACAGCUGGCUGAUGGCCUGGGCACCCAUCCAGCUCUGCUCUGUGUGCUGUUCUCAGGGGACCCAGCUUACAUAUGGCUGUCAUGGCAGCGGGCUGGCUGCUUACACAAGCCAAUAAAACUUGGGCCCUGUCAGCCCUAAAAGGAAGUCCAAUCCCAGCUCUGGAGAGAAGGUCCCCAGGGUCACCUGGGGUGGAGUCUGAGACAGAGUUCUGUCUGGAGUCAGGGCUUCCUGGUGCUCACAUCUGCGUGAGGAGCCCAUGUUUUCCUCAACCAUGCCCUGUCAGAGUCUCUCAGAGUCCUUCUCUGUGUCAUGUUCAUAAUGACAGUUCUAAGAGUCUUGCCCGAGGCUAAUGUCCUUAGCUGAGUUACCUGCUGCACAUCCUCCCCUCUGCAGGACGGAUUUGGGUGAUGGAUUUUGAUCUGUUGAGGUUUAACUCCCCCAUGUGUGUCCUGCACUAAAUGUUCAAACCCCAAUGAGGGGACUCAAGGCAGAGAGGAGGUAGGCACAGGGCAGCCCUGACACUCCUGUGUGUUAAGUGGAAUGAUCCCCACCCAGCACCCACAGGUCACAGAGAGUCACUUACUGUACACUUGGAGGUAGACAUGUGUUAUUUCACAUUGGUAAUAUGUUCCAAAUGUUUCUAGGGUGUAGAUUCCUGUGUCUUCCUGGGUGACAUUCUGGAGCAGCAAGGAUCCGUUGGUGUACACCCUCUCCCUACCACUGUAUUUACGCCCCCAUUUAAGUGAUUGAGAGGCUGUUUCAUAAUGUGCAAUUUUAAAUUCUUCAAAGGCGCGUUUCCCUUUAUACCAGAAAAAGGCCUGAAGCUUCUCUGCCUGGUUAUCAACACGUAGAAGAACAUUUCCCCCUUCAGGAAGAGAGGGCGGUACAGCCUCAAUAGAUGGGUGGGCCACGGCGUUUGAGGUCCAGCAGGCUAAAAGGGAGGCUAGAAGAAAGGCGAGGACACCCGUCAAUCUUGGGUCCCUGUGUCCUGUGCAUGUGUGCUCAUCACUCAGCCUUGGUAUGUGGGUCGGGGUGCACCCACUCUACUUGGUGCAAGAAAGCAACAUAAACCCCAUUCCCACAGUGCCUCUGAAGCUGUGUCCUCUGCAUGCAACUCUUUCCUCAGUUGCAUGGCUCCCCCCUCAUUGUCCUCACACCUCUGCUCACUCUCAGGAGUAUUUUGGGGCAUGGGAGGUGCCUACCCCGACCUCCUUCUCUGGAAACCCCAGGUCACACAUUCCUUAUUUUCUUGCUCUGUUCCCUUUGCGUUUGCAGCCAACCCCUGACUGAACCUUCUGGAAGCCCUUGCUUCUCUGUCUCCCCUCCACUAGAGUGAAGACCCUGUCGGGACUAGGGAAAUGGCUCAGUGGUAAAGAGUUGCUCUUACGGAGGACCUGGGUUCAAUCCCCAGCACCCACAUGGCUUCUCACAGCUGUCUGUAACUCCAGUCCCAGGGGAUCCAAUGUCGUCUUCUAACCUUCUCUAGGAGGACACCCAGGGAGUGGCACAGACAGACAUUCAGGCAAAGAGCAUAUGUCAAAAAUAAAAAUAAAUAAAGCCUCAGAACAAAGGCCCCGUGAAGCCUGCUCUCUGUGGGAGGCCAGGUGCCUGGGAAGGGCUUGAACAUCUGUGGAUGAGAGGAUGAAGGAAUGAAUGUGACCAGGGCCUGGGUACCCAAGUUGUUUGUUUGUUUAUAGACUCCUCGGUUUGGGAGCUAAUGAGUGUUUAAUACCAUGGGUUGGUGCUGUGGGAUGGUCUGUAUGUCAAAUUGCUCUGAUUGGUCAAUAAAUAAAACACUGAUUGGCCAGUGGCUAGGCAGGAAGUGUAGGUGGGACUAACAGAGAGGAGAAAAAGAAAGAACAGGAAGGCGGAAAGAGACACUGCCAGCCGCCGCCAUGACUAGCAGCAUGUGAAGAUGCCGGUAAGCCACGAGCCAUGUGGCAAGGUAUAGAUUUAUAGAAAUGGAUUAAUUUAAGCUGUAAGAACAGUUAGCAAGAAGCCUGCCACGGCCAUACAGUUUGUAAGCAAUAUAAGUCUCGGUGUUUACUUGGUUGGGUCUGAGCGGCUGUGGGACUGGCA